rnacentral:rRNA from 1 species
UACGGAGGGUGCAAGCGUUAUUCCGGAUUCAUCUGGGUUUAAAGGGUUAGCGUAGGCGGGUUGGUAAGUCCGUGGUGAAAAUCCCCAAGCUUAACUUGGGAACUGCCGUGGAUACUAUCAAUCUUGAAUAUCGUGGAGGUAAGCGGAAUAUGUCAUGUAGCGGUGAAAUGACUUAGAAUAUGACAUAGAACACCAAUUGCGUAGGCAGCUUACUACACGAUCAAUUGACGCUGAGGCACGAAAGCGUGGGGAGCAAACAGG